rnacentral:pre_miRNA from 1 species
AUGUCUCAGGCUAUGAUUGUCCAAACGCAAUUCUUGUCUGCACGAUACAAAAUCAAGAAUUGUGUGGGGACAUCAGCGCUCG